GUCUCUUAUCUCGACUGAACUAAAGGUAAAAGGAGCUGAGUUUAAAAACACAGUGGAGCACUUCCUGUAUCACCACUUGAUGACAUCACAAGGUGGAACGUCGCAUUUUGAUCUUUGGAGGUGUAACAGACUAAUAAUAAAGUGUGACUCAAACAUGUGUGAAUGAAAUAAAACUCAGCUCCAGUGUUUGAGGACGUUAGGACAUGGGGCAGGGGUCAGUGUUUGACCUUUAAUGUGGAAAUGGGCAAAAGAAACGUCCAUGUUUCAGUUUAUAAGAAUAUUCUGAAUUAAAUGUUCAUUUAAACGACAGACGUCUCAGAUCUGGACUCUGAGUUCAUCUGAUUCAGCUCAAGUUAUUUCCUCACCACAGAAUCCUUCAAACAGAAGCCUUUACUGCAGUCUGUGACAGAGACGGGCUUUAGCUCACACAAAUACUGUCAAAAUACACACAGAAAUACUGUCAAAAUACUGUCAAAAGUACACACAGAAAUACUGUCAAAAGUACACACAAAUACUAUCAAAAAUACACACAAAUACUAUCAAAAUACUGUCAAAAGUACACACAAAAAUACUGUCAAAAGUACACACAAAUAGUAUCAAAAUACUGUCAAAAGUGUGGUCUCAUUCACAUCCGACACACAGGGAGGGCAUCCGACACACAGGGAGGGCAUCUGACACACAGGGAGGGCAUCUGACACACUUUCUGUGAGCUAAAGUCUCUGUUCUCUCUCUAAGACCCGCCCACAGAAGCCUUUACCCUCCAAUCAGGCGCCAGACUCUGCCCAGAAACACAUUUCUAUUGGCUGCGUCGCCGUGACAUCAUCACUCUGCAGAACGGCUCUAGUUUUACCUGAGACGGGCGAGGCCCUCAGGGCGAGGCCCUCAGGGCCCUCAGGCGGAGGUCUCUGUGUGUCACACACAGAUGUGUGACCUGGUUUAUGCUAAAUGUUUCUGUAAUCACUGGACCUACCCACAUGAAACAGUCCUGGUUUAGUCCUGGUUUAGUCCUGGUUUAGUCCUGGUUUAGUCCUGGUUUAGUCCUGGUUUAGUCCUGGUUUAGUCCUGGAGCAAUAACAAAGUCUCAAACUGGAGGCUCAGAGGCUCCACAACCCUCAGGACAAAAGUAGAGGACCUCGUCCUGCCUGAGGACCUCGUCCUGCCUG
ensembl:lncRNA